CAAUGCCACCUCGCCGGCCCGCUGCCCCAACGUUCCGUUAGCCCCUUCUGCCCAGGGAGGGACACUGCUCGGCACUCCCGCAGUGUUAGAGAGAGGGAGACUUUUUCGGGGGAGGGAUUGUGGCUUCCUUCUGAGGCUUACAAAUAGUUUUCAUUUCAAUCUCUAAUCCCCCAUCCCCACCGCCUUUUAAAUUUUGGAUGCUUGGGGCAGGGGAACAUUAAACAGCAUGUCAGCUCACAUGGUCCAUGGGACUCACUUUUUAUGUGCGUGGCAGGUAGGAGGGAGCCUCACAAGUCAUUACAUUCGUCAGAGAGAAAUGCCAUAUAAGGUAAUAUGUAGUGUUGGAGCCAUGUUUUUCCCAGGAUAUUAGGGAGACACAGUCAGUGACCAGAAUCUAUUGAACCAACCUCCGUUGGUGAGAGAGUCAAGCUUUUGAGCUUACACAGAGCUCAUCUGCAGGUCUGGGAAAUGUACUCAGAGCAUAACAGGUAAAUUACUUGUAGGAAAAUUCUGAGCUGCUCUGCAGACCAGAAUUCAGGGCCCAAACAGACUGUGUUUUUCGUCCACCAGGGGCUGCUGUGGCACCAGAAGAGAGAAAUCACUCCCAGGUGGGAGCAAAGAUGGGAAAGAGAAGAGGCUGUGUUCCUCACAGUGCCCUGGCCAUGGGUCCAGGUCAGGAGGCACAGGAAUUGGAGGGAUGGAUGAAUGGAUGGACAGCAUAGGGCACAUAGGUGGGUCAUAGGCUUGAGUUCAGAAGGAUAACUUGGAGGGGAGGGUGUGGGAUGGGCUGAAUGGGAAUGGGGGGUGCAGAAACACAGGGGGAGGAGUGGUGGCUGACUGGGGCAAAUGUGUCUGACUGAAUGAGAGAGGCUAGGGGUCAGCCAGGGUUGACAUGGGGCAGACUCCCUAACAAUCCUUCCCCACUCCCAAAAAAACUUGUUCCGUACUUCUCCCACCCACACUCAACAACCCACCAGUCCUUCCCAGCAAUUACUUUCCUCUCUCUCAGCUCCUCAAUUAUCCUAACUCUCCCAAGCCUUUGCACUGCUUCUGAGGAGUGCAGGAAAUAUGUUUCUGUAUUGGUCUUUAAAUUAAUUAUUACUCAAUGUUCUAUAUUAAUAUGCCUACUAUGGAACUUAUUUGUCCUGAAUCUUUUUUGUUGUCUGUAUUGUUACAGACAUACAUGCUGACAAGUAUUUUGAAAUAAAUUACCAAAAUAAUUGAAA